UGCAAGAGCAUAUGGCAUAGCUGAAUACAUUCCUGCAGCUCUUUCUCUGUAGAAGACUGUUCUCUCAAUUGCUACUAUUGGUUGUACCGAGGCACCAUUUACAACCCCUAUGAAGGUAACAGCAGCAUACAUUGACCCCAUUGCAUUGAAUAAAUCUUGCUCCUUUUUACUGUGAUUAUUAAUGAUAUAGCAUGGUAAGGAUUUGUUUUGAAUUUUAUUUUUAAUGUUUUAGUUAUUGUAAGAACAAUGUAACGAUUCCAUUUCAAUAUACCUUUUCGCGCCAACGCCCCAGAAUAUCAGGCCAAACAAUAUACCCGUCAUUAUAGUAAAUAAAAGUCUAACAGCUGUAUAUGAUGUAUUCCUCCAAUAUGAUAAAUGUUGUUUCCACAAACAAUAUGUACAUUGUGCUAAAAAUGUCUGUGAAUAUUGAGCAUCAAAGUGUAGAUCUUUUGAACUUUGAGAAGGAACACUAAGCUCUUGGAUCAAUUGUUUAUUUCUCCUGAAAAAGGGAAAGAAUUAGUAUUAAGAUCUUUCGGCGGUACUCCAUCAAAAUAAUAAAUUUCAGUGAGGAAUUAUUAGAACGUAAACUGCGGUACAAAAGAAUAAAGAUACAAAAACGUAUUUUUACAAGGAGUCUAACCGGUGUAGUUCUGAGUUUUUGUACACAUCAGUGAAAUUGACCUUAAGAUUUGCCUCUUUUCCGGCUGAUGUAAUUUCCAACAUCCAUGUUGCAGGAUUAUACCCAUCUUUGAUCGUAGGAACUCCUUGAAUAGCCUAUAGUAUUAAUUCACUAGGUGAAUAUUAUAUUGUAAUGCUUCAGAAGCUAGUAAUUAAUAUGCACAAUCUCAUUUACAUUUUCUCACCUCGAAGUACUGGAUCAGAUCGGAACAUUGGUUGCCUAUUGGACCAGCAUAUAUCUGCUCACCUCCCAAUUUCAGAAGUAGCAGC
rnacentral:lncRNA from 1 species